rnacentral:lncRNA from 1 species
GAAACCACACUGGUAAUGGAUGACAUAAAGACGAUCCUUCCAGCUCCUGAAGCUUUCAAAAGUGGGUGUGCGAGUUGGGACAGAUGGAAAGCAGAUCCAAGGUUUAUAUUCAUGAUGGAUACGAAAUCCUCAGUUGUGUAGUCUAAGGUUCCUUUAUGUAUGUUCCCCCCAGCAUUGUUUAUCUAGAGAUUAGCAUAGUUUAGGCAAUCAGACAAGUUCUUAUUUACUUGCAAUAUCAAGUUACAUGCAUUAUUUAUGUCACGGUUAAUUAGGUUCCCUCAUGAUAUUACUAAGCCCUUCUGUGUAGAGUUUGAAAAAAGAUAAAGAACAGGAUGUAUUUUUCAUUGCAUUGUUUGUUUUGUUUACAGAAUAUUUGUAAGUAGAGACGUGCACAGCAAGUGCCAAGAUUUAGGCAAGCUGAGAUUUGAUUUGAAUCAAUUAUCCCCUUAAUAUUCUCCCAAGCAUUUAACUUUGACUAAACAUUAGGGGUUAGUGAUUGUGUAGUCUUCUGCAAUCUUUUUGUCCUUCUGAUAUUCUUCAAGAUGCAAGUUUCCAUGUACAUUACUGACACGCCCCGCAAUCUCAAGGGAAGUUCCCUGGCGUUGAGAUUGAACCGGGCAUGGUGGAACCUUUGUGUGGCCAGAGGUUUUGUUAGCAGGUCAGCAAUCUGAUCUUUUGGUGGAGACAAAUUUGACCUGGACUUGUUCGUUAUGCACAACUUGCAAUGGAAUUGGCAGUUUCAAUAUGUUUGUGUUCUAGUAUGGAAAAUGGAAUUGGCAGAGAGAUAUGCUGCUCCAAAUUUAUCACACCAAAUGAUAGGUUGAUGAGUAGGGGUUAAACCGAGUUCUUCCGAAAGCUUGCGCAGUCACUGUAAUUCAGCAGCAGCAUUGGCAAGAUCUUUGUAUUCCGCCUCCGUGCUGCUGCGUGCGACAGUUGCAAUAGUAGAUAGGUUCUUUGUUGAAUUGACCUCGACCACUGGUGUGAUAAUUGGAGUGGUGAGUGCGAUAGUAGCCACGCCCUCGUCCACGACUGUUUCCACAGCUGCGAGGUUGAAAGGAAUUGUGUUGACGAGUAGAAAGAUUUUCAGAACCAUUGCCAAAAAAGGAUGUUGUAUUGUUGGCAGUGAUUAUGGAAUCAAUAAUCAGCAGUAAUGAGUACAAAUCCUGUCGAGCUGUAAUAGUGGUGGCUAAUGAGUCGUAAUCAUGCCCAAGUCCAGCAAGAAUACAAGUGAUUGUAUCGUCCUAUGAUAAAGGGUUGGCCAGAGACAGCUAGUUCACCAGAAAUCUUUCUGAUGUUGAAGAAAUAAUUAGUAUGAUUGAGAACCUUUACGAAGAGUGGAGAAUUGAGAACGAAGAUGAAAAACACGAGCUUUGGAUUGUGAGGCAAAGAUCUUUUACGGUGCUUAAUUGCCAGACGUAAUAUGAGGUUUGAUGAGAAGCAAUUUGAGCUACAAUAGGCUCAGUUAAUGUGGACAUUAUGGCACUUAGUAUCAAGGCAUCCUGACGAAUCCAAUGAGUGUAUACAGGAUUUGGAGAAGAGGAAGUGGCAAGCUGAGAUUUGAUUGGAAUCAAUUAUCCCCUGAAUAUUCUCCCAAGCAUUUAACUUUGACUAAACAUUAGGAGUUAGUGAUUGUGUAAUCUUCAAGAUGUAAGUUUCCAUGUAAAUUACUGACAUUAUGUGAGUUCCAAGUGCUGUGAAUGAGUUGAGCAAAUAAGAAACGAAGAGAGAUUUUACUUACAAGGAUGUCAAGUUUUCCAUCAAACAAAGAAGAAACCUCCUCCAUCAGCUUCUCUCUUUCAGCAUCGGAGGACAAAUCACAAACUGAACCAGUAACUUUAAAACCCUUCGCCUUCCAUUCACGGAGGUUUUCAUCGAGCUGGUCUUGAUUCCUCCCGCAUGUAUGCACGAUUGCCCCUAGAGCUGCCAACUCACCCACAAUAGCAUACCUGAUCAUAAUUGAUCAUCAGCAAACAAGUCUACUGUUUUAACACCUUUAAUUUCAAGAAUAAACUAGUUAUUACUGCGAAAAGAUUAAAGGACUACGUGUAAUAGACCCAGGAAUCAGUGUUACGAGCGAUAAUACAGCUUAUAUUCCCUGCUGAAUUUGUAAAUUAAAGGAAGAAAAUAUACUAAUAUUCUUAUGUUUUACUAAGAGAUUUGAGACCUUAAUGGAAUCUUGCUUUUGUGCAUCAUCUUCCAAGAAAUUAACUAAAAUAAAUUAAGACUACGGAGCUAAAGUAAAACAUCAUGGAAGGUGCAGACGAAAAAGGAACUGGAAAUCUGGAAUUACCCGAGUCCUUUGGUUCCACCGGUGACAAGAGCUGUCGUUCCUUGGAGAGACCAUCUCUUAUCCCUGCUACUGUUUUCUUGCUGAGACAUCUUCACAUACCUGUCCUUCAAGUUCAACACCUUUAGUCUAUAAACAAAAAAAGUACUGAGCAGCCUUGGUGUCUGUUUGGUAUUGUGGUUGUGGGUGAGGUUUACCCGCAGCCAUAAUUUUUAACGUUUGGUAAUGCUUUUAUCAAUAGUUUUGAAAUUCGACCCGGGAUCCGGCCGACCCGGAGCUAGAAUCGGGCCGGGGUAAAGAAAAAAUGAAAAAAGAAAAACCCGGUAUAACCUGGCUGACCUGGCGGGUUGACCCGGCAAGACCUGGCUGCAAACCUGUUGAUUUUUUUUUUUGUUUUUUUUUUACUAAAACGAUAUCAUUUUAAUUUUUUUUUAAAAUUAACUCCGUCAAAACCCGGAACCUAGAACCCAAGCCUUGGACUGGGGCGGGUCUUAAAACUAUGCUUUUACCAUAAAUUUUUAGUGGUGGAUUCCACCAUUUACUGUGGCACAGUCACAGGUUAUAAGAAGUAGCUCUUUGCUGCUUCUUAUGAUGAGAAAAUGGAGGGCUCCACUGUUCCUCCAUUUUCUUGAACCAACAUUGGAGCAUGCUCCACUGUUCCGGCCAGAUCGGUCCGGUUCAAAGCUAAAAAUGCAUUGAACCUGGUCCGACCCAACAAAAUAAAAAAUAUAUAUUUUUAAUUGUGUUUUAUUCGAAAAACUAGUGUUAAACAUUAUUCAAUAACUAUAUAACUUAGACGGAGAUCGCUUGAUGACGCCGCAUUUAUAAAAUUUGAUCGCAAUCUCAAUUUUGUUUCUGAUUGUAUUUUACUUGAUGUUGUUGCGCUCUUAAAAAAUUUAUAAAAAUUGUAGUCCUUGUCGGAUAUAUUUCAUACGUGAUGGAAUGAUGGAUAGUUUAAUGGAACAAUAAAUAAUAUUUUAUAUAAAAUAUUAUUUAUUUCAUGAUGUAAUAGUAAUAGUUAAAUCUAUAAUAUUUAAAUUAAAAACCAUCAAUAUUAAUAUAUAUAUUUUAAAAUUAUUUUAUAACCUUAAUUUCAAAAGCAUUAUUAACCAAACACAUUAAACUACUUUUUGUUCAACCUUAAUUUCAACUACAGUUUUAACCAAACAUCUAUUUUUUCAAACUAACCUCAACUAAAAGUACUUUUUAUAAAACAACUUUUUUCAAAUCACAACUACAACAGCUACCGCAAUGCCAAACACAACCUUAAUAAAUGCAAAAGGAAGGUGGGGGCAGUGGCGGUGGCGAUGAUAAAGGCUUGAAUUGAAAAUGGAAAAAUGGGUGGGAAGGGGGAUAUGAAUUAUCAUAGUUUUAAGACCCGACUCGGUCUAAGGCCUGGGUUUCGGGUUUUGACCGGGUCAUCGGGUCAACCGGGUCAAUUUUUUUAAAAUCAAAACGACGUCAUUUUGGUAAGAAAAAACAAAAGUCAACGGGUUUGCGGUCGGGUCUUGACCGGGUCAACUGGUUUGUCGGGUCAGCCCGCCGGGUCACACCGAGUUUUUCCUUCCUUUUUUUUCUUCAACCCGGUCUUGUUCCAGCCCCGGAUCGGCCGAGUCUCGGGUCAAUCCGCCAAGCCCGGUUUCAAAACACUGUGAAUUAUUGAAAACAAAUAAAAAAAUUUAUAGCCAAUGACAAAAAUUAUAAAUUAAUAAAUUAAAAUAAUAAGUAUUGAUAUUCAAAUAUCUUCUAAAAUUUUAAAUGUUAAGCACAAAUUAAAAAAAAGAAGAGAGGAAAGGAAAAAAAAAAAACAAUGAACGCCUAACUCAAUGGCAUGAAACACGCACCACAUGACGCCAAAAAAAACUCUACUGAAGAUUUAUUUUGGGUAUUGUGUGGUCUUGGAAUAUCCUUUGCGAAGAGCUUCAAAGUCAAAAUGCCUGUCUGAUGGAAGUCCAAACUUAGAAGCAAUCUCUUUCCAUUGGUUCUCAUAACGCAUUGUGUCCUCUACAUUAUACAGCCCAUAGAAUUGGUUCAAACUGCUUUUUGUUAAAAUUUAAGUUUUUUUAUUUAAAUUAUUUUUUUUAAUUUUUUUUAAUUGUUUGAUGUGAUGAUAUUGAAAUAAAUUUUUUUUUUAAAAAAAUUAUUUUAAUAUAUUUAAAACUUUUAAAAAAUAACUUUUAUAACAUUCUCAAAUGCCUAUAGAAGAAAAAAAAACUGAUAAUUUUAAAUAUAGAUAAAAACUUAAGAUAAUUAUGAUUUUUUUUUAACCUUAUGGUUAGGUUUAUUUCUUACUCGAGCCAGUAUAGAUAGAGUCAGUAAAAAUAAAUAUAUCCCCUAUAAUUUAUAAUAAUUUAAAUUUAUUUUAUAAUUGUAACAAAAACAUAUUUAUUUUAUAUAACUAUUUGUUCCUUCAACCAAAUAAUACUUUUCAUGUACAUUAUGUUCUAAAACAUUAGCCAAAAGCAAUCUUCAAGCCCACGUAAAUGAAGCAGUUCACUCAUUAUGUAAUAAGCAUAUCAUAGCAAUACACCGGAUAAAUAGGAAAUGUUUGAGCUCGAAAUAUUACCAUGUUGUAGUUUAAAAUAUUUUUUAUUUAAAAAUUUAUUAAAUUAUUUUUAAUAUUAAUAUAUUAAAAUAAUAUGAAAAUAUAAAAAAAUAUUUUUAAAUAAAAAUAAAAUUUUAAAUCAUGUUUCCAAAUAUUUUCGUAGUGUCAUCACCAAACAUCUUACAUGCACAAAUGGAGUCCCUGGAAGGCAAUAUGAUAUGCUCAAGUUUAUUGAACAUCUUGAUCCUUUAAAAUCUUGCUCUAUACAUCUUCCUCCACCCAAUGGUUUUGUGAGAAGUCGAAACUGGAGAAAAAUGGUGUUUCAUCCUCCAGCCCGAGUUUUAGCAGCUGCCCAUCAGACUCCAUCAAGUAAUUAUCAGCUCCCGUUUUAUUAUAGCAUUGCUUGAAGUAAAUGCUACAAUCACGUUCAAACUAUUUAACAGUCUGAGAUUAGUUAUUUUAUUGGCCAAGUAGACACAUCCCUACUGAAGUUUAAGAUGUAGGGAAUUACUUAAAAGCCCUGUGUUGCUAAACACAUUAACAAUUUCAGCUUCUGUGUUAACUUGCAGAGAAAUGCCAAGAUUAUGUUAUCAUCUCCACAAGCAUCUGAAAUCUGCAGUGCUUUAACUGUGAUGCUGGCGAUCAAAACGCAACUGCACAAUCUUCUUUCUGUGGGAAUGAAAGCAACCCCCCUUGCACAAUGUCUACAGUCUGCACAAAUAAUUAAGUUCCAUCGUUGAAAGGCGAGGGAAUGUUAAAGGGAGAGGGCAUAGAAUGUUUCUUAGCAGCAGUCAUGGUUCAUGAACUGGUAAAAAAAAUAGUGUUCUUGCGCAUCAAACAAAGAAGAAGAAAUCAUGAUUUGAUUGGUAAAUUAUAGAUGUAAUAUGUUCAAGAAGAGCAUGAUACGUUUAAACAAAUGACAUGAAACAUUCUGUUUGUAUAGUGAAAGUAAUUGUGGCUCAUAUUUCAGUUCAAUGUUGUUUUUCUAUUAGUAUCGCUUGCUGAAAGAGGAAAAGUGAUCAGACCUUGUAGAAGCUAUAUAUAUUAUUUAAUUCUCCUGAUAGGAUGGUAUGGGCACUCCUGACUCUUCUGUAAGCUUUUUGUAAGCAUUUUGCAACCUUCGAGUCACAGGUCCCACUUGUCCAUCGCCAACUUCACGUCCAUCAAUCUUCACAGCCUGUUAAAUGAUAUUCAUAAAUAUAUGUUCCUAGUUAGAAACUGAAAGAUACGGUAUCUUAGUUCUUGACUUGACAGAGACAAGCUCCAUGAAGGUGCCAAGAUUAAUAGCAUUUGAUGAGGAUAUUCAAUGGGAAUAUCCUGGGAAGAAUUAUUCAUACAAAUUCUUUUAUAUUAUUUAUAGUAUGUUUUAUGAUCUUCACUUCAAGAUUGCAUUGGCUUUUUGGUGGCGGCACCAGACCCACACCAUAAACUACAUGAGUAUAUGAACGGAGAUGACAUACAAUGACCCAGCCUGUCACGCUUUGGUUAGGAGAUUAAGUUCAUUUGGGUCUAUCUUAUUGUUAUUUUAUUUAGCCCAUUUGAAUCUAUCUCAUUGUUAUUUUAUUUAUUUGAAAUUAUUUAUGUUAAACAGUUUGAUUUGAUGGGCUGAGCCUAAUAGCGAGAUGUUUUAGGGUUUACUAUUUAUAUGUUCCUUUGUCAUUUUGUGAGACAGUUUUUGAUGAUUAAUGAAAAUAUUGUUGAUUUUGCAUAUCUCCAAUCUCAUUUCUUCUUCUUUUUUUUUAGCUUUAUUCUUUCUCUAAAGCUUCUUUCUUUUCUUGUUUUAAUUCUUAUUAUUUAUUGUCCUACAUCACUUCUUUAAUGAAUUCCAUCAAAGGGAUGUAAAUCUCAACCUGGAUAAAUAUUUGCUCAAAGUCCCCUCGAGUGUUGAUAGAGAACCCUCUGAAAAUUAAGUUAGCACAAGGUAUUUUUGUGUGGAAAAGACAUUAAUAAAAGGUGUAAUGAGCUUUUAUGAAGAUAGAGAAGAGGAAGGAGAAGAUGUAUUAUUAAGGAAGAAGAAGCAGAAAAUGUGUUUAUAUCUCUCUGUAUAAGGUUUCGAACCCCUUUCUGUAUGUUCUUGCCUUCUUUUAUAUUACAUGACUUGGCUUUUUCAUGUAACGUAGAGGAAGGUAGAAAUAUAAUCUUGUGUGAGUAAGAUAAUGUUAUCUUACUGCUCGUACCAUCACAUCUAAUUAAUAGAAGCAUGGAUAACUUAUUUGUAUUUAAUAGGAUAUAAUGGAUAUCAUGAUUACUAAUCCAAACACAGGGUAUGAGUAGCUCAGUGUGGAGUUAUCUUUUUAGAUGUGCACUUAACCUGAUGAGCAUUAGAUUCAACUCACAAUGAGCCUAGGAGAAGUUAGGCUCAGCUUGUGACUACACUUAAAAAUGAUCAAAGAUGGACAUCUCAUAGCCCAAAGUAGAGUUGGGCGGGGACGCAUCCCAACCCAAUAUGGAGUUGGGCACGGAUGCGUCCCUGGCCUAAUAUGGGGUUAGACGCAGACGAGCAUUUACCCUAAUAUGGAGUUGGGCGGGACGCGUCUUGACCCAACAUGGAGUUGGGUAUGGGCACGCCCCUGGUCUAAUAUAAAGUUGGGCAGGACUCAUCCCUAGCUCAACAUGGGGUUAGGAGUGGACACAUCAUGACCCAACAUGGAGUAGGGCAUAGGUGCACCCCUGACCGGAAUAUGAGGUCAGGCUCGAACGCAUCCCUGUCCCAAUAUGAGGUUGGGUGCGGACGCGUCAUGACCCAUCAUAAAGUUGGGCACGGGCACUCCCCUAUCCAACUUAAAGUUGAGCACGGGAAUGAUAUAAUCCCUCCUUGGGUUGUGAUUUUCAUGUGUUGGGUUUUAAAUGGUACUGAUUUACAUAAACCACGACCCAUCAACACUCAAAUUAUUUCAACCAGCAUGGUAUUCUCUGUCCAUAUCUUGUGAAGCUUACUAAUAAAACCUUCGAAGUGGUGAAUCUAGCUUGGACAAUGUCAACUUCAAAAUGUAACCAACUACCACUGCUUAACUUCUUACUACUACUUGAAAGCAGCAGCAGAUAUUAAAUGAAGAGUCUCAAGAACAACAUUUGCACAGCAAAUACCACAUAGUAUGCAUUGGACACAACAUUCAGCAACUCGACGAUAAAGAAAUACUGAAAAUGGAACGGUUUGAUGAUGACCUACUUCACAGGAGGUCUGUCUCUGGUCAGGUUGGAAAAGACACAACUAGACUGACAGACUAACCAUUGUAUCCAAAACAUUUCCAGUAAACGAAAACUUAUUGCGUAUAUAAUUAUAUUAGAAACAUUUUUAAUGGUUGACACAUUAUUCAUAUACUCAUCAGCUGAUGUUCCGAACCGGGAGGAUGGCGUUGUAAUAAAAGUUGCCACAACUUACGGGACCUCAAAAUCACUUAAGAUUGCAGCGGACAAAGAAUUUGCCGAAAUGUACCUAACAUAGUUGGAAAAGUCAUAUUUAAAAAGAAUAUACUCACCGGGGUGAGCUCUCCCAUUGUUCCAGUCAUCCAUACCUGCAGAGCAUGAAUGUUGUAGUAACUGAUAAAUUGAUAAAAAUAACAAAAUAAUUAAAAUUAACUAAAUUUACUAAAAAUAUAUAUAUAUAUUCAUUUUUUAAAAUAUAUACAAGAAUGAGGGGUAAGAAAUUAGGCUAUGACACUUGUAAACCUCACAAAAACAAACUGGAUUGAUAGGGGUUUAGGAACAUAGUCAUUAAAAUCAAUCUAUCUCAGCAAAUUGUGAGACAAAUAAUUGUGAGACAAAUUCAAAAUUUGAAGCGUAACUUGAGUUAGAUUUCUAGUAGAAACAAAACUCGGUUAGUAUUUCAUAAAUCUCACAAAAGCAAACUCAGUUGAUAAGGGUUUAGGAACAUAGUCAUUAAAUUCAAUCAACCUCAGCAAAUCGACUUGAAAAAUUCAAAACUUGGAGCCUAACUCGAGUUAGAUUUCUAGUAGAAAACAAACUCAGUGAACAUGUUGUUAGAAACUAAUCAUUAAAUUUAAUCUAACUCAAUAGCCGACCUAGUCAAUCCAAGAUUUAAAGUUUACUCGAGUCAGGUUUCUAGUGGAAACUCAAGACAAGUAAUAGGAGCAAUUUUGAAUUAAGCUACAAGAAAUUAAAGAUGAGACUGAUUGAAGAUUUGAAAAUACUAAUAUGGCUUGGGAAAAAUGCAAUUGGUGUUGAGUACAAAGGUAAAAUUACUUUUUUCAAUGUAAAAGAAAUUCAUGUUUGGUAAUGAAAGAAUAAAAACAACAUUAACACGUUCGAGGCAAAAUAUCGUAAAGAGCAAAAGAUUAAAGAAUAAUAAGAGUUAAUAUUGAAAAGGAAUGUUAGAAUUCAUUAUUAGUCGGGAGUUAGGAUUUAGAGUUUAUAAGAAUUCUAAUAUUUUAUAACUAUGCAAUAUUAAAGAUUAAUAUCUAUUAGAGUUUUGGAUAAGAAUAAAUCUUAGAUAGAUAAGCAUAAACGUCUUAGUUUAAGUAGGAAAUGUAAGAGUAUAAAAUCCACCUAAACAUUAAGAAUUAUGUAUAAGAAAAAACAAAAGAAAAAAAUAAAGAAAAGAAAGGCAGUAGAUGAACAAACUUUUUGGCUAUUGAUAGACUUUGAAUAUUAUUUGGCCAUAAUACUUCAACAACCAGCAAUAUGAUUCUCUCGUACAUUUCCUGCAAGCUAGUAGAUGAACCAACAGGCCUUGAAACUUAUUAGUUUUCAGCCCAUGGAGAAGCCAUUCACUGACAUCCCUCCAUCAACGCAAAUAACCUGUCCGGUUAAGAAGCCUGGUGCAGGGAAGCAUAGAAAUGCGACAACAGAAGACACAUCCCCUGGUUCUCCAAGUCGUUUCAUAGGGGUUCGAUUGACAACGUCCUUCCAAAUUUUUUCGUCGUCGAGAAACUGAAUCGUACAGGAAAAGCACUAUUAGAUAUUUUCAGAAUAUUCAUCCUCGACACAAUUUCCUGUGAUAAAAACGAUUCACCUAUGUUGUUGCACUUGUGCAACGAGCACUGAAAGGAAAAGAAAGCAUAAAGGAGAGAAACAUUUGUUAAAGAAUUGGAGAGUUCGUACAUGUUCAGUGAGAGGAGUUCGGACGGCCCAUGGUGCCACUGCGUUAACCCUUAUGUUGUCCUUGGCCCAUUCGCAACCAAAUUCCUUGUAAGUUGGUUCAUUGCACCUGCAAUUAUAUAGAAAUCACAACAUAACAAGCUUCUGUGAUACAAACACCAAAAAGGAAAACGAGAUGAAGAUAGAAAAUUAUGCCAAGUACCUUUAGUAGCUGAAUAUAUAGGAUAUUGAGGGUUUAUAGAAACCACACUGGCAAUGGAUGACAUAAAGACGAUCCUUCCAGCUCCUGAAGCUUUCAAAAGUGGGUGUGCGAGUUGGGACAGAUGGAAAGCAGAUCCAAGGUUUAUAUUCAUGAUGGAUACGAAAUCCUCAGUUGUGUAGUCUAAGGUUCCUUUAUGUAUGUUCCCCCCAGCAUUGUUUAUCUAUAGAUUAGCAAAGUUUAGGCAAUCAGACAAGUUCUUAUUUACUUGCAAUAUCAAGUUACAUCCAUUAUUUAUGUCACGGUUAAUUAGGUUCCCUCAUAAUAUUACUAAGCCCUUCUGUGUAGAGUUUGAAGAAAGACUAAAGAACAGAACGUAUUUUUCACCACCUUGUUUGUUUUGUUUACAGAAUAUUUUCAAGUAGGGACGUGAACUGCAAGUGCCAGAAUUUAGGCAAGCUGAGAUUUGAUUAGAAUCAAUUAUCCCCUGAAUAUUCUCCCAAGCAUUUAACUUCGACUAAACAUUAGGAGUUCUAAGUGCUGUGAAUGAGUUGAGCAAAUGAGAAACGAAGAGAGAUUUUACUUACAAGGAUGUCAAGUUUUCCAUCAAAAAAAGAAGAAACCUCCUCCAUCAGCUUCUCUCUUUCAGCAUUAGAGGACAAAUCACAAACUGAACCAGUAACUUUAAAACCCUUCGCCUUCCAUUCACGGAGGUUUUCACUCAGCUGGUCCUGACUCCUCCCACAUGUAUGCACGAUUGCCCCUAGUGCUGCCAACUCACCCACAACAGCAUACCUGAUCAUAAUUGAUCAUCAGCAAACAAUUCUACUGUUUUAACACCUUUAAUUUCAAGAAUAAGCUAGUUAUUGCUGCCAAAAGAUUAAAGGACUACGUGUAAUGGACCCAGGAAUCAGUGUUAUAAGCGAUAACAACAUAAUGUCAAUACAUUGAAAACACUAAAUCCAUGGAGCAUUUUCUUAGAUCCACAAGAGGGGUGCUCAAGCAGGGGAUGAAUUUUUUGAUGAAAAAAGUAGAUAGAAUUCAUUAAUCUUUUCCUUAGAUUAAAAAAACUGUUAUGUGGAUAUAAAAACUGUUAUGUGGAUAUAGUGGUUCCCUUUAAUUUAUAAUUAAAGGAAGAAAAUAUACUUAUAUUCUUAUGUUUUACUUAAGAAAUUUGAGACCUUAAUGGAAUCUUGCUUUUGUGCAUCAUCUUCCAAGAAAUUAACUAAAAUAAAUUAAGACUACGGAGCUAAAGUAAAACAUCAUGGAAGGUGCAGACGAAAAAGGAACUGGAAAUCUGGAAUUACCCGAGCCCUUUGGUUCCACCAGUGACAAGAGCUGUCAUUCCUUGGAGAGACCAUCUCUUAUCCCUGCUACUGUUUCUUGCUGAGACAUCUUCACAAAUCUCUCUUCAAGUUCGACACCUCUAGGCAACAAAUAGCAUUGUAAGUAUGAAACAAAAACAAAAAACAAAAAAAAAGGGUACUGUGAGCUGCCUUAAUAAAUGCAAAAAGAAGGUCAUAUCAGGGGAGAAUGUCAGGAUGCCAGUUGAACUGUGUUACCGUUUUGAAGACGGAAAAGGUAGGGCAGUGGCGGUGGUGAUGAUAGACGCUUAAAGCCUUAAAUUGAGAUAAGAUGCAUGAAAAAAAAAGUGGGGGGGGGGGGGGUUAAAAAAUUAAAAGAUUAAGUAUAUAUUCAUAAAUGCUAGGCACCGAUAAUUGCUUCUAAAUUAACUUAAUAAUUACAAAAGUAUCCAAAUGCAAAUACUAAAUGGAAGUUGACAGCCCAUAAAACAAAAGAACGUAAUUUCCCCUUUAAAUUUUGGAAUGUCAAAUGGCCUGUUAUGAAAUCAUUAAAUUACCCCAACAUAAUGGUUUUUUUCAAGGAAAAAAUAGAUAUUUUACCCCAAAGUCUUAAAAUAUCACUCAUUCACUUGCCUUUUUUAUUUUGAUAUUCUAUUUUUUAAUUUUACCAUCCUCUAACAAAUUAACCUUUAAUUUUGGUUAUUAAAACAAAAAAAAAAGAUAAAAAUAAAAUUUUAGCCUACAAUGAUAUGUAAUGCGGGUGACCUAUUAGUUAUAUUCUAAAACACUUAGCUAAAAGCAAUCUUAAGGCCCACGGAAAUGAAGUCAUUAUGUAAAAGCACACAACCGAAGAAAACUGAGUUUUUAUUGUCGGCAUUUUUGUUUUUAUAUUUUAAAAAUAGUUUUAAAAAAAUUUAAUUUUUUUUAUUUUUUUAUUAACUUUAAAUUAAUAUGUUUUUAGUGUUUUCAAAUCAUUUUAAUAUGUUAAUAUCAAAAAUAAUUUUUAAAAAAUAAAAAAAUAUCAUUAACAUGUAUUUUAGCGUGAAAAAUUAUUCAAAAAGUAAACGCAAUCACAUUGCCAAACAAACUCGUCAUCUACACGUAACCAUACUCGUGGGGAGCACAUCAUAGCAAUUGAUAGGAUAUUAAUAAUAUGAUAGUAAUUGUUGUUUAAAAUAUUUUUUAUUUAUAAAUUUAUUAAAUUAUUUUUAAUAUUAGUAUAUUACAAUGACAUAAAAUUAUAAAAAUUUUAAAUAAAAAAAAACCAGUUUUUACCGUAUUCUUAAUUUUGUUUUUUAUAGUGUCAGAAUAACUAUACCACCAAACAUCACAUCACACGUGCACAAAUGUUGUCCCUAUAAGGCAAUAUAAUAUGUCUAAGUUUAUUGAAUAUAUUUUUUUUAAUUUAACGUGGAUGUGUUUGGAUCAGUUUAUGCAUAUCUUGACUAAUUUUACGGAUCCUGGAAUUAAUAACAAUAUAAGCCUCUAGUAAUCAUUAUAUUAGCAACUAAAGGUUGAAACUUGAAAUCAUAGGAAAAAUAAUUUUUUUAAUCUCAAGCUCGUAUCGCUGAACCACCUCCUAAUAGUUAGUAUAUUGAACAUCUUGAUCCUUCAUAAUCUUGCUCUAUCUUCCUCCACCCAUUGGUUUUGUGAGAAGUCGAAAAUGGAGAAAUAUGGUGUUUCAUCCUCCAGCCCCGGUUUUAGCAGCUGCCCAUCAGACUCCAUCAAGUAAUUAUCAGCUCCCGUUUUAUUAGAAAGCAAUGGAAAACCGAACUCCGAAUUAUCAUUGUCAUUAGUAUAAUUAAGCACAGGGAAUUGCUCCAUAGAAACAUUAAAGACCGCUAGAGUUCCUGCUCUUAAAAGGCAAUGAUAAAGAUUACCAUUCAAACAAACCAAAUCUCUAUAUGGCCACAAAUUCUUCUCAUUGUAGUUGUUUUAUGAGCACAAUUUCAGCAUUUUCACUUGGUGCUUUUGCUGCUAUUUCGAGAUAGAAAAAACAGAGAUGGUGAGAGAAUAUAUAUAUAUAUAUAUAUAUAUAUAUAUAUACCUCUUGAAAAACAUUUUAUAUUUGUAUUCUCAACCAAAUACAUUUGAAAUUAUGUCUAUCCUAGAACACUAACCAAAAGCAUAGAUUAAGAUUAAGGUGGUUGCAUUCUAAGGUAGGCUUCAUUAUAGAACCUAUUCCUCGGCAUAUUAAAAUAGAGUCCAUGAAUUAAUCUUAUAUAUACCGAUGAACCAACACACAAAUAUAUACCAUAACAUUGCUUGAAGUAAAUGCCACAAUCACGUUCAAACUAUUUAACAGUCUGAGAUUUAUUUUAUUGGCUAAGUAGACACAUCCCUACUGAAGUUUAAGAUGUAGGGAAUUACUUAAAAGCCCUGUGUUGCUAAACACAUUAACAAUUUUAGCUUCUGUGUAAACAUGCAGAGAAAUGCCAAGAUAUUUAUGGUAUCAUCUCCACAAGCAUCUGAAAUCUGCAGUGCUUUAACUGUGAUGCUGGCGAUCGAAACGCAACUGCACAAUCUUCUUUCUGUGGGAAUGAAAGCAACCCCCUUGCACAAUGUCUACAGUCUGCACAAAUAAUUAAGUUCCAUCGUUGAAAGGCGAGGGAAUGUUAAAGGGAGAGGGCAUAGAAUGUUUCUUAGCAGCAGUCAUGGUUCAUGAACCGGUAAAAAAAAUAGUGUUCUUGCGCAUCAAACAAAGAAGAAGAAAUCAUGAUUUGAUUGGUAAAUUAUAGAUGUAAUAUGUUCAAGAAGAGCAUGAUACGUUUAAACAAAUGACAUGAAACAUUCUGUUUGUAUAGUGAAAGUAAUUGUGGCUCAUAUUUCAGUUCAAUGUUGUUUUUCUAUUAGUAUCGCUUGCUGAAAGAGGAAAAGUGAUCAGACCUUGUAGAAGCUAUAUAUAUUAUUUAAUUCUCCUGAUAGGAUGGUAUGGGCACUCCUGACUCUUCUGUAAGCUUUUUGUAAGCAUUUUGCAACCUUCGAGUCACAGGUCCCACUUGUCCAUCGCCAACUUCACGUCCAUCAAUCUUCACAGCCUGUUAAAUGAUAUUCAUAAAAUAUAUGUUCCUAGUUAGAAACUGAAAGAUACGGUAUCUUAGUUCUUGACUUGACAGAGACAAGCUCCAUGAAGGUGCCAAGAUUAAUAGCAUUUGAUGAGGAUAUUCAAUGGGAAUAUCCUGGGAAGAAUUAUUCAUACAAAUUCUUUUAUAUUAUUUAUAGUAUGUUUUAUGAUCUUCACUUCAAGAUUGCAUUGGCUUUUUGGUGGCGGCACCAGACCCACACCAUAAACUACAUGAGUAUAUGAACGGAGAUGACAUACAAUGACCCAGCCUGUCACGCUUUGGUUAGGAGAUUAAGUUCAUUUGGGUCUAUCUUAUUGUUAUUUUAUUUAGCCCAUUUGAAUCUAUCUCAUUGUUAUUUUAUUUAUUUGAAAUUAUUUAUGUUAAACAGUUUGAUUUGAUGGGCUGAGCCUAAUAGCGAGAUGUUUUAGGGUUUACUAUUUAUAUGUUCCUUUGUCAUUUUGUGAGACAGUUUUUGAUGAUUAAUGAAAAUAUUGUUGAUUUUGCAUAUCUCCAAUCUCAUUUCUUCUUCUUUUUUUUUAGCUUUAUUCUUUCUCUAAAGCUUCUUUCUUUUCUUGUUUUAAUUCUUAUUAUUUAUUGUCCUACAUCACUUCUUUAAUGAAUUCCAUCAAAGGGAUGUAAAUCUCAACCUGGAUAAAUAUUUGCUCAAAGUCCCCUCGAGUGUUGAUAGAGAACCCUCUGAAAAUUAAGUUAGCACAAGGUAUUUUUGUGUGGAAAAGACAUUAAUAAAAGGUGUAAUGAGCUUUUAUGAAGAUAGAGAAGAGGAAGGAGAAGAUGUAUUAUUAAGGAAGAAAAGCAGAAAAUGUGUUUAUAUCUCUCUGUAUAAGGUUUCGAACCCCUUUCUGUAUGUUCUUGCCUUCUUUUAUAUUACAUGACUUGGCUUUUUCAUGUAACGUAGAGGAAGGUAGAAAUAUAAUCUUGUGUGAGUAAGAUAAUGUUAUCUUACUGCUCGUACCAUCACAUCUAAUUAAUAGAAGCAUGGAUAACUUAUUUGUAUUUAAUAGGAUAUAAUGGAUAUCAUGAUUACUAAUCCAAACACAGGGUAUGAGUAGCUCAGUGUGGAGUUAUCUUUUUAGAUGUGCACUUAACCUGAUGAGCAUUAGAUUCAACUCACAAUGAGCCUAGGAGAAGUUAGGCUCAGCUUGUGACUACACUUAAAAAUGAUCAAAGAUGGACAUCUCAUAGCCCAAAGUAGAGUUGGGCGGGGACGCAUCCCAACCCAAUAUGGAGUUGGGCACGGAUGCGUCCCUGGCCUAAUAUGGGGUUAGACGCAGACGAGCAUUUACCCUAAUAUGGAGUUGGGCGGGACGCGUCUUGACCCAACAUGGAGUUGGGUAUGGGCACGCCCCUGGUCUAAUAUAAAGUUGGGCAGGACUCAUCCCUAGCUCAACAUGGGGUUAGGAGUGGACACAUCAUGACCCAACAUGGAGUAGGGCAUAGGUGCACCCCUGACCGGAAUAUGAGGUCAGGCUCGAACGCAUCCCUGUCCCAAUAUGAGGUUGGGUGCGGACGCGUCAUGACCCAUCAUAAAGUUGGGCACGGGCACUCCCCUAUCCAACUUAAAGUUGAGCACGGGAAUGAUAUAAUCCCUCCUUGGGUUGUGAUUUUCAUGUGUUGGGUUUUAAAUGGUACUGAUUUACAUAAACCACGACCCAUCAACACUCAAAUUAUUUCAACCAGCAUGGUAUUCUCUGUCCAUAUCUUGUGAAGCUUACUAAUAAAAACCUUCGAAGUGGUGAAUCUAGCUUGGACAAUGUCAACUUCAAAAUGUAACCAACUACCACUGCUUAACUUCUUACUACUACUUGAAAGCAGCAGCAGAUAUUAAAUGAAGAGUCUCAAGAACAACAUUUGCACAGCAAAUACCACAUAGUAUGCAUUGGACACAACAUUCAGCAACUCGACGAUAAAGAAAUACUGAAAAUGGAACGGUUUGAUGAUGACCUACUUCACAGGAGGUCUGUCUCUGGUCAGGUUGGAAAAGACACAACUAGACUGACAGACUAACCAUUGUAUCCAAAACAUUUCCAGUAAACGAAAACUUAUUGCGUAUAUAAUUAUAUUAGAAACAUUUUUAAUGGUUGACACAUUAUUCAUAUACUCAUCAGCUGAUGUUCCGAACCGGGAGGAUGGCGUUGUAAUAAAAGUUGCCACAACUUACGGGACCUCAAAAUCACUUAAGAUUGCAGCGGACAAAGAAUUUGCCGAAAUGUACCUAACAUAGUUGGAAAAGUCAUAUUUAAAAAUAUACUCACCGGGGUGAGCUCUCCCAUUGUUCCAGUCAUCCAUACCUGCAGAGCAUGAAUGUUGUAGUAACUGAUAAAUUGAUAAAAAUAACAAAAUAAUUAAAAUUAACUAAAUUUACUAAAAAUAUAUAUAUAUAUUCAUUUUUUAAAAUAUAUACAAGAAUGAGGGGUAAGAAAUUAGGCUAUGACACUUGUAAACCUCACAAAAACAAACUGGAUUGAUAGGGGUUUAGGAACAUAGUCAUUAAAAUCAAUCUAUCUCAGCAAAUUGUGAGACAAAUAAUUGUGAGACAAAUUCAAAAUUCAAACUCGGUUAGUAUUUCAUAAAUCUCACAAAAGCAAACUCAGUUGAUAAGGGUUUAGGAACAUAGUCAUUAAAUUCAAUCAACCUCAGCAAAUCGACUUGAAAAAUUCAAAACUUGGAGCCUAACUCGAGUUAGAUUUCUAGUAGAAAACAAACUCAGUGAACAUAUUGUUAGAAACAUAAUCAUUAAAUUUAAUCUAACUCAAUAGCCGACCUAGUCAAUCCAAGAUUUACAGUUUUACUCGAGUCAGGUUUCUAGUGGAAACUCAAGACAAAGUAAUAGGAGUAAUUUUGAAUUAAGUUACAAGAAAUUGAGACUGAUUGAAGAUUUGAAAAUACUAAUAUGGCUUGGAAUAAUGCAAUUGGUGUUGAGUACAAAGGUAAAAUUACUUUUUUCAAUGUAAAAGAAAUUCAUGUUUGGUAAUGAAAGAAUAAAAACAACAUUAACACGUUAGAGGCAAAAUAUCGUAAAGAGCAAAAGAUUAAAGAAUAAUAAGAGUUAAUAUUGAAAAGGAAUGUUAGAAUUCAUUAUUAGUCGGGAGUUAGGAUUUAGAGUUUAUAAGAAUUCUAAUAUUUUGUAACUAUGCAAUAUUAAAGAUUAAUAUCUAUUAGAGUUUUGGAUAAGAAUAAAUCUUAGAUAGAUAAGCAUAAACGUCUUAGUUUAAGUAGGAAAUGUAAGAGUAUAAAAUCCACCUAAACAUUAAGAAUUAUGUAUAAGAAAAAACAAAAGAAAAAAAUAAAGAAAAGAAAGGCAGUAGAUGAACAAACUUUUUGGCUAUUGAUAGACUUUGAAUAUUAUUUGGCCAUAAUACUUCAACAACCAGCAAUAUGAUUCUCUCGUACAUUUCCUGCAAGCUAGUAGAUGAACCAACAGGCCUUGAAACUUAUUAGUUUUCAGCCCAUGGAGAAGCCAUUCACUGACAUCCCUCCAUCAACGCAAAUAACCUGUCCGGUUAAGAAGCCUGGUGCAGGGAAGCAUAGAAAUGCGACAACAGAAGACACAUCCCCUGGUUCUCCAAGUCGUUUCAUAGGGGUUCGAUUGACAACGUCCUUCCAAAUUUUUCGUCGUCGAGAAACUGAAUCGUACAGGAAAAGCACUAUUAGAUAUUUUCAGAAUUCAUCCUCGACACAAUUUCCUGUGAUAAAAACGAUUCACCUAUGUUGUUGCACUUGUGCAACGAGCACUGAAAGGAAAAGAAAGCAUAAAGGAGAGAAACAUUAGUUAAAGAAUUGGAGAGUUCGUACAUGUUCAGUGAGAGGAGUUCGGACGGCCCAUGGUGCCACUGCGUUAACCCUUAUGUUGUCCUUGGCCCAUUCGCAAGCCAAAUUCCUUGUAAGUUGGUUCAUUGCACCUGCAAUUAUAUAGAAAUCACAACAUAACAAGCUUCUGUGAUACAAACACCAAAAAGGAAAACGAGAUGAGAGAUAGAAAAUUAUGCCAAGUACCUUUAGUAGCUGAAUAUAUAGGAUAUUGAGGGUUUAUAGAAACCACACUGGCAAUGGAUGACAUAAAGACGAUCCUUCCAGCUCCUGAAGCUUUCAAAAGUGGGUGUGCGAGUUGGGAGAUGGAAAGCAGAUCCAAGGUUUAUAUUCAUGAUGGAUACGAAAUCCUCAGUUGUGUAGUCUAAGGUUCCUUUAUGUAUGUUCCCCCCAGCAUUGUUUAUCUAGAGAUUAGCAAAGUUUAGGCAAUCAGACAAGUUCUUAUUUACUUGCAAUAUCAAGUUACAUCCAUUAUUUAUGUCACGGUUAAUUAGGUUCCCUCAUAAUAUUACUAAGCCCUUCUGUGUAGAGUUUGAAGAAAGACUAAAGAACAGAACGUAUUUUUCACCACCUUGUUUGUUUUGUUUAC